GGGAGAGUGAGGGAGGAGAAUCAGUGGCAGAGAGGAUGCUCACUGGGAGUGUGCAACACUAAAGAGCUGAGAGUGAGGCCAGCAGGUGAACGACUGAUGGAAAGCGAGUGCAAGGGAGCUGACUGAAGCUGCAGAGAGAGAGAGAGAGAGAGAAGAGUACAAGAAGAGAGAGGAGAUAACUGUAAAAGAGAGGGAGGGAGAAGGAGCUUAACUAGAGGAGAAGCAUAGACAGUGAGUCAUCUGCCAGAGUGCUGGUCACUGUCCGGACUUCCCAGGGAGCGCCCAGCUGCCACUGUGUGAGAAACAAGAUGGGAGUGACCCCCGCAUUUCUGCAUCACUAGAGCCCCAGCUGUUCCAGCCUACACUCCCAUACACCACCUCCCCAUUCCACAAGGUAGGCGGAGAACUGGGAGGGAGGGGGUUGCACUUUGAACCCCUGACCUUAUCUGAUGGACCUCUGUGUGA
rnacentral:lncRNA from 1 species